UCGCGGUCGAAGCGCCGUUAAGAAACGACACGAUGGGGUCUUCGACGAGUGCUUCCCUUGAAGCUACAGACGCAUUGCUCGAUACGAAGGUCUUUUCAACCACCACUAGCCGUGCGUCCACCCAAGGGGACUCAUGUUUAGGCCAACCGCGCCGUAAGCACGGGAGACCAAUCUCCGCUCCAAAACAACGAUUCCCUUUAAGAGAAGAGUUGCUAGGGGCGACGCGAUGCGUGACGCCCAGGCAGGCGUGCCCUCAACCGAAUGGUGUCGGGCGCAACUUGCGUUCAAAAACUCGAUGGUUCACGGGAUUCUGCAAUUCACACCAAGUAUCGCAUUUUGCUACGUUCUUCAUCGAUGCGUGAGCCGAGAUAUCCGUUGCCGAGAGUCGUUUGUGAUUCUAAGGAGGUCAUGACCCGGACGCUCACCGCGAACGGGGCGACACGGGACGCGCCCUUCUCAUGUUUUGUUUUCCUUGGCACAUGCCGUGCCGGGGUUUGUUUUUGUGCCAACGCGACGUCCGUGUGCCCCUCACAGGGCAACGCGUACGCACGUCGGCGGGGAUCAAAGGGUGGGAACAAGGCCCAUCCCUCGUCUCCCGGUUAUCAGUACAUGUUCACAGGUCAUUCUGCUUUGCAGGUUC
rnacentral:misc_RNA from 1 species